UCUAUUUUGUUGGUUUUGGUACUGAAGUCAUAAUUAAGAGGGUUGCUUGGG
rnacentral:rRNA from 1 species